UAGCGAAGCUGCUUAGAUACUGUCGAAUUAUGCACAUGCUACACAGAAAUGCCGAGGCAUGGACGCCGAGGCAAGGAGAAAUCGAGCCAUGGAUGGCGAGUUUCGACGUUUUCGUCAUCCUAUGAAAACCUACAAAGCAUAAUUUGCACAGUAUCUUGGCUGCGCAGCGU
rfam:[Eubacterium rectale] ATCC 33656 chromosome, complete genome.